CAUAAUAAAAGUGUUUUAUGGCACUUUUCAAACAAAUCCAUAUCCACCUUGUGUGCAAUGUUUUUUUUUUUUUAAAUAAACACUUUAUUUUUUAAUUGCCAAUUUAUCUGAAGAUCAGUAUUAUUAUGAAUUAACUUAAUUCAAAAUA
rnacentral:misc_RNA from 1 species